rnacentral:tRNA from 1 species
GCCGCUGUGGCCUAGUGGAAAGGCGGCUGAUUCGUAAUCAGCAGAUCGAGGGUUCAAUCCCCUCCAGCGGCU